rnacentral:rRNA from 1 species
UGAUGGCAGAGAGGUCACACCCGUUCCCAUACCGAACACGGAAGUUAAGCUCUCUAGCGCCGAUGGUAGUUGGGACCUUGUCCCUGUGAGAGUAGGACGUCGC